rnacentral:rRNA from 1 species
GUGGGGAAUAUUGGGCAAUGGGCGAAAGCCUGACCCAGCAACGCCGCGUGAAGGAAGAAGGUUUUCGGAUCGUAAACUUCUAUCCUUGGUGAAGAUAAUGACGGUAGCCAAGAAGGAAGCCCCGGCUAACUACGUGCCAGCAGCCGCGGUAAUACGUAGGGGGCAAGCGUUGUCCGGAAUGAUUGGGCGUAAAGGGCGCGUAGGCGGCCCGGUAAGUCUGAAGUGAAAGUCCUGCUUUUAAGGUGGGAAUUGCUUUGGAUACUGUCGGGCUUGAGUGCAGGAGAGGUAAGCGGAAUUCCCGGUGUAGAGGUGAAAUUCGUAGAUAUCGGGAGAAACACCAGUGGCGAAGGCGGCUCUCUGGCCAUUGACUGACGCUGAGAUGCGAAAGCGUGGGGAGCAAACAGGAUUAGAAACCCCGGUAGUCC